CACGUUGUAGCGUCUUCUAGUACAUCAUUCCUUUCUGUGGCUGGAUAAUAUUCUAUUGUAUGGUAGGCUGAAGAAUGACUCCCAAAGACAUCCAUGUCUGAAGCCCUGGAACGUUACCUGAUACGGCAAAAAGGACUUUGCAGAUGUGAUUAGGCAAGGAUCCUGAGAUGGGAAGAUUAUCCUGGAGCAUCCAGGCAACGUGAUGAUAAAAGCAGAUCGGAGGGUUGCACUUCAAAGAUGGAGGAAGGAGCCACAAGCCAAGGAAUACAGACCUUGGCUCAUCCUGAAAGGCCAGUGGAGUGUUUCAAACAGGGCAAGCUGACGGCUGGGCAGAUUGAAGAGAUUACCGUGCAAGAGCUCUGGGGUGGCAGGGGGUCUGGAAGUUCCACAGAGCUUAUCCAAAAGUCAGCUGCCAUCUCAUGCAUAUGCAGCCCCUACAGAUGCCAAAGGAAAUGGGAUGGAAGCCUAUUUUUCAGAUGUUGAUGGCGUCAGCGCUUUGUUCUUCCUACAUUGUUCAUCCCUUGGAAUGGAAGUUUUCAAACUUAGCAAGGGAACUGUUGGGAGCACUCUUACAGGCCACCUCGAUAUACGGAAGAGAGCGAGG
rnacentral:lncRNA from 1 species